rnacentral:rRNA from 1 species
CCUACGGGAGACUGCAGUGAGGAAUAUUGGUCAAUGGGCGCUAGCCUGAACCAGCCAAGUAGCGUGAAGGAUGACUGCCCUAUGGGUUGUAAACUUCUUUUAUAUGGGAAUAAAGUGCAGUAUGUAUACUGCUUUGCAUGUACCUUAUGAAUAAGGAUCGGCUAACUCCGUGCCAGCAGCCGCGGUAAUACGGAGGAUCCGAGCGUUAUCCGGAUUUAUUGGGUUUAAAGGGAGCGUAGGCGGGUUGUUAAGUCAGUUGUGAAAGUUUGCGGCUCAACCGUAAAAUUGCAGUUGAUACUGGCAUCCUUGAGUACAGUAGAGGUAGGCGGAUUUCGUGGUGUAGCGGUGAACUGCUUAGAUAUCACGAAGAACUCCGAUCGCGAAGGCAAGUGUCCGGGGUGCAACUGACGCUGUGGCUCGAAAGUGCGGGUAUCAAACAGGAUUAGAUACCCCAGUAGUC